rnacentral:rRNA from 1 species
GACGAACGCUGGCGGCGUGCUUAACACAUGCAAGUCGAACGGAAAGGCCCUGCUUUUGUGGGGUGCUCGAGUGGCGAACGGGUGAGUAACACGUGAGUAACCUGCCCUUGACUUUGGGAUAACUUCAGGAAACUGGGGCUAAUACCGGAUAGGAACUCCUGUUGCAUGGUGGGGGUUGGAAAGUUUCGGCGGUUGGGGAUGGACUCGCGGCUUAUCAGCUUGUUGGUGGGGUAGUGGCUUACCAAGGCUUUGACGGGUAGCCGGCCUGAGAGGGUGACCGGCCACAUUGGGACUGAGAUACGGCCCAGACUCCUACGGGAGGCAGCAGUGGGGAAUAUUGCACAAUGGGCGGAAGCCUGAUGCAGCAACGCCGCGUGCGGGAUGACGGCCUUCGGGUUGUAAACCGCUUUCGCCUGUGACGAAGCGUGAGUGACGGUAAUGGGUAAAGAAGCACCGGCUAACUACGUG